rnacentral:rRNA from 1 species
AAUCUGUGGGGUAAUCCACCCGCUUCACGGGUUGAAUUCUGCAGAAGACUGCCAGACUAGGGACCGGGAGAGGUGUGGGGUACUCGAGGGGUAGAGGUAAAAUUCUGUCAUCCUUCGAGGACCACCAGUUGCGAAGGCGCCACACUGGAACGGAUUCGACGGUCAGGGACGAAGCCUAGGAGCACGAACCGGAUUAGAUACCCGGGUAGUCCUAGGUGUAAACGCUGUGAACUUGGUGUCGGGGAUCCGUAAGGGGUCCCCGGUGCCGGAGUGAAGAUGUUAAGUUCACUGCCUGGGGAGUACGGUCGCAAGGCUGAAACUUAAAGGAAUUGGCGGGGGAGCACUGCAACGGGAGGAGCGUGCGGUUUAAUUGGAUUCAACGCCGGAAAACUCACCAGGGCCGACUGUUAUAUGAAGACCAGCGUAACGAGCUUGUCGGAUUUUCAGAGAGGUGGUGCAUGGCCGUCGUCAGUUCGUACUGUAAAGCGUUCUGUUAAGUCAGAUAACGAACGAGACCCUCAUCUCUAUUUGCUAACUGUCUCUCCGAAGGCGGUGCACUAUAGAGAGACCGCUGGUGUGAAACCAGAGGAAGGCGAGGGCAACGACAGGUCAGUAUGCCCCGAAUGUCCUGGGCUACACGCGCGCUACAAAGGACGGGACAAUGGGAGGCUAGGCCGAGAGGCCACGCUAACCCGAAACCCGUUCAUAGUUCGGAUUGAGGGCUGUAACUCGCCCUCAUGAAGCUGGAUUCCGUAGUAAUCGUGUUUNCAUAUAGCACGGUGAAUAUGUCCCUGCUCCUUGCAC